CAUGCAAGUCGAACGGUAACAGGAAGCAGCUUGCUGCUUUGCUGACGAGUGGCGGACGGGUGAGUAAUGUCUGGGAAACUGCCUGAUGGAGGGGGAUAACUACUGGAAACGGUAGCUAAUACCGCAUAACGUCGCAAGACCAAAGAGGGGGACCUUCGGGCCUCUUGCCAUCGGAUGUGCCCAGAUGGGAUUAGCUAGUAGGUGGGGUAACGGCUCACCUAGGCGACGAUCCCUAGCUGGUCUGAGAGGAUGACCAGCCACACUGGAACUGAGACACGGUCCAGACUCCUACGGGAGGCAGCAGUGGGGAAUAUUGCACAAUGGGCGCAAGCCUGAUGCAGCCAUGCCGCGUGUAUGAAGAAGGCCUUCGGGUUGUAAAGUACUUUCAGCGGGGAGGAAGGGAGUAAAGUUAAUACCUUUGCUCAUUGACGUUACCCGCAGAAGAAGCACCGGCUAACUCCGUGCCAGCAGCCGCGGUAAUACGGAGGGUGCAAGCGUUAAUCGGAAUUACUGGGCGUAA
rnacentral:rRNA from 1 species